UCCAACUGCUUGAUAGAGAAAAUUAUCAAGUUCACAAUGUUACGUCCCCUGACCCAAAAAUUCAUGGAAUCCCUAAUCCCUUGCAUUUCCAGUCAUACAGAUGAAGACAACACAAUAAAUGUAAACAUCUAGCAUAGACAUUAUCAGAACAUGCUGAAACUGUUGGUAGUUGCUUUUACCUGGAUUUGAACUAACUAAAAACCUAAUGCUCUUCUCUCAAAGUAGAUUGCUCUGUGUUACAUAUACAUAUGUAUGUAUGUAUGUAUGUGUAUGUAUGUAUGUGUGCAUGCAUGCAUGUAUGUUGCUCAAAAAAUAAUGUAUGUAUGUGUGUAUGUGUACUUACAUCGGAAAAAUAAAAUCUCACAGGCAGAAACUCUUGUUAGUUCCCUUACCUAGUGUUGAGAUCUAGAAUAUCUUUUUCUAUGUAUAUCCCAUGAUUUCUGCUAUAUCCCAUGAUUUCUGCUCUAUUUUAGGAUAGAAUAAUUUACUCCUAAUGUAUUUUAGGAUAGAAUAAAUUAGCUCCUAAUUUUUAGGAAAUUACAGAUUUCAUGGAAUUGACAAAAGUCAAAUUCCAUUUGUAUAAAUGUUGUACAGAGUCUGGAACAAAAGAUAUGACAGAACAAUUCAGUUCUUCUUUUUGUUCAUGGUAUCAGAGCUUUUGCUCUUGGGACCUCUUCUUGUCAGCCUUCAUUGCUGAGAACUUUCCUUUUCUUCAAGUCUUAUUGCCAAGUGCAAUUUCCAGCCUUCAUUGCUGAUUUUUUCCAUUAGGCCUUCAUUGCCAAUUUUUCUUUGAAACCUCCACCAUGUCUGAAACUGAAACAUCAGAAAUCCACUCCAAUACCAAAUCAGAGGAGACCUCAAAUAUUCCACAAACAGGGGAUUUGCAGAGUAUCCAGGCAGCCUACAGGCUCAACGGGAAAAACUAUUUGAAGUGGUCACAAUUUGUUCAAACAUUUCUCAAAGGAAAGGGCAAAAUCAGCCACUUGCUUGGAACUGGACCAAAAAAGGGAGAUCCUAAAUUCGCUGCUUGGGAUGAAGAGGAUUCUAUGGUCAUGUCAUGGCUGUGGAAUUCCAUGUUACCUGAAAUAAGCGAUACUUGCAUGUUCCUACCAACAGCUCAAGAUAUAUGGACUACUAUUCGACAGACCUAUUCAAAGGCAGGAGAUGCUGCCCUAAUCUAUGAGAUCAAAACAAAGAUCUCAGCCACUAAACAGGGCAACCUUUCUGUUACUCAAUAUGCCAACCUUCUGCAAAAUCUAUGGCAGGAACUGGACCAAUAUCGGUGUGUUCAGAUGGUGUGUAGUGAAGAUGCAGCCACCUUGAAAAGCUUUAUCGAAAAGGAUAGAGUUUAUGACUUCCUUGCAGGUCUGAAUGUGGAAUUUGAUCAGGUCAGAAUCCAGAUAUUGGGGAAGGAAAGAUUAUCAUCUCUGAAUGAGACAAUAUCAUUGAUUCGAGCUGAAGAGAACAGGCGAGAAGUCAUGUUAGAGCCUAAAACAUUAGAAGGCUCUGCAAUGAUUUCUACAAAGUCAAAUAAAGACACAAUUUGGUGCACGUACUGCAAAAAAUCAAGCCAUACGCGAGAUGAUUGCUUCAAACUCCAUGGGAAGGAACAAGUCCUUAGUCGUAAAGGAGGAUUCAAAGGGCGAAAAGCCCACUUAACUGCUGGAGAAGACCAAACACAAGAAAAAUCCAACCAGGCUGGUAUGGGAGAAUUCAAGAAAGAAGAAAUCGAAAAGCUAAGAAACCUCCUAAAUUCCCUUGAAAAGUCCUCUAGUACGUGUUCAUUGGCUCAAUCAGGUAAGUACCUUAACUCUUAUGCUUUAAGUGCCUCAAGCAUGUCUUCUCUAGGCUCUUGGGUCAUCGACUCAGGAGCUACUGAUCAUAUGACUCACAGCCCAAUCAGAUUUAGAACAUACAACCCAUGUCCUGGAAAUAGAAAAAUUACUGUUGCGGAUGGAUCUCCUAUAACUGUUGCAGGCCAAGGAACAGUAAAUCUAUCAAAUUCUUUGUCCCUAAAUAAUGUGUUGCAUGUCCCAAAAUUGUCCUCCAAUCUCAUAUCCAUCCAUCAAAUUACCAAAGAUCUGAACUGUAGAGUAAUUUUCUAUACUACUCACUGUGUUUUUCAGGAUUUGGUUACGGGGAGGACGAUUGGACUUGCUAAGGUGAAUGAUGGGCUUUAUUACCUUGAGGACAUGAGUGGCAACAAGAAGAACAAAAAUCAGUUAUCCCUCACCUGCUCCUCAAAUAAUAAAUCUGAAAUUUGGCUUCAUCAUUUCCGUCUUGGUCAUCCAUCUUUUAUUCUACUUAAAAGCAUGUUUCCUUCACUUUUCAAGAAUGAAGAUGUUAGUAGUUUUCAUUGUGAUACAUGUGAAAUUGCUAAACAUCAUAGACUAUCAUUUCCAUUGAGUAAUACAAGAUCUACGAGACCUUUCUCUUUGAUACAUACUGAUAUUUGGGGGCCUUGUAGAAUUUCUAGUAUUUCUGGAGCAAAAUGGUUUGUCACAUUCAUUGAUGAUUGUACUAGAACUACUUGGUUAUUUCUUAUGAAAGAAAAAUCAGAAGUAAGCAGUAUUUUUCCAAUGUUUCAUAAAAUGAUUUGUACACAAUUUGGAAGUCUGAUUAAAAGAGUAAGAUCUGAUAAUGCAAGAGACUAUUUUAAUCAAAUUCUCUCAUCUUUUUUCCAAAAAGAGGGUAUAAUACAUGAGUCAUCUUGUGUAGAUACACCCCAACAAAAUGGGAUUGCUGAACGAAAAAAUAGACAUUUACUCAAUGUGACUCGAGCAAUUUUGUUUCAACAUAAAGUUCCAAAAACUUUUUGGGGGGAGGCUGUUUUAACUGCUGCACAUUUGAUAAAUAGAGUACCUUCAAAAGUACUAAAUAAUCAAAGUCCCAUUGCUGCUCUUUCUGUUUUUUACCCUGAUUUUAAUGUCUCUUGCACAUUGUCACCAAAAGUGUUUGGUUGUAUUGCUUUUGUACAUGUUCAUGCACACCAAAGAGGGAAACUUGAUCCAAGAGCUUUAAAAUGUAUUUUUGUGGGAUACUCAAACACAAAGAAAGGAUAUAAGUGUUAUCAUCCUCCUUCAAAAAAAAUUUUUACCUCCAUGGAUGUCACAUUUGUUGAAAAUGAACCUUAUUCUCAAAGUAACAAUCCUCAUCCCCAGGGGGAGAGUUCUUGGGAAGAUAAGGAAUUUCUCCUUGAUCUUCAAAGUCCUACACUAAACUUAAAGUCUUUCAAGCCUGACCAUACACCAAAUUCUAAAGGAGAACAUACUAGCAGUGAACCUGAACCUGAAUUUGAAGUUGAACAUGCCAGUAAAGAAAUUGAACCUGAUCUUGCAGCUGAGGGAAAAUCUGGUUUAAAUCCAACUACACCACUCAAGGUCUACUCAAGGAAGAAAGUUCAUAUUUCUGAACCUGUGCAAAUCCAAGAAUCUGAACCACAAUCAGGUACUGAAAAUUCUGUUCCUUUGUGUGUUCAAUCUGACUCUGCUCCUUGUGAAUUUAUUGAUUUAGACCUGCAUAUUGCUGUUCGAAAAGGAACACGAGAAUGCACUAAGCACCCAAUCUCAAAUUUCGUGUCUUUCCAUAGACUCUCUCCACAACAUAAAACUUUCCUUACCACCAUCAACUCCAUUUCAAUCCCACAAACACUACAAGAGGCACUUAGAAAUAAGAACUGGUUACAUGCUAUGAAAGAGGAAAUGAAUGCCCUAGAGAGAAAUAAGACUUGGGAAAUUGUAAACCUGCCCAAAGGAAAGAAAACAGUGGGGUGUAAAUGGGUGUUUACUUUGAAAUAUAGAGCUGAUGGUUCAUUAGAAAGGCAUAAAGCUCGGUUGGUUGCAAAAGGAUAUACACAGACAUAUGGGAUAGAUUACCAAGAGACCUUUGCACCCGUUGCAAAAAUGAAUACUGUGCGUGUUCUUUUGUCUUUAGCCGCUAACUUUGGUUGGUGUUUACAGCAAUUUGAUGUUAAGAAUGCAUUCUUACAUGGGGAUUUAGAAGAAGAGGUGUACAUGGAACCCCCACCGGGUUUCAAUGAAAUGUUUUUUAAAAAGAAAGUGUGCAGGUUAAAGAAAGCAUUAUAUGGAUUAAAACAAUCGCCAAGGGCUUGGUUCGGAAGAUUUACUAAAGUGAUGCUAGCAAUGCAAUACAAACAAAGUCAAGGAGAUCAUACUUUGUUCAUAAAAUAUUCAAAAGGAGGUGUUACAGCUCUACUUGUAUAUGUAGAUGACAUCAUCAUUACCGGGGAUGAUCCAAUUGAAAGAGAAACACUCAAAAAGUGCUUAGCAAAGGAGUUUGAAAUUAAAGAACUAGGGAGGCUGAAGUAUUUUUUAGGCAUUGAGGUGGCAUACUCAAGUAAAGGCAUCUUUGUUUCCCAACAAAAGUAUGUCUUAGACUUGCUUAAAGAAACAGGCAAUCUUGGAUGCAAGGCAGCAAGUACACCCAUUGAGCCUAACUUGAGAUUGAAUGAAGAGAAGGAUGAUAGCACAGUAGAUAAGGGAAGAUAUCAGCGGUUGGUUGGGAAACUGAUAUACUUGUCCCAUACAAGGCCGGACAUAGCAUUUGCUGUAAGUGUAGUAAGCCAAUUUAUGCAUGAUCCAAGAGAGAAACACUUGCAGGCUGUCAAUAGAAUUCUAUCCUACCUCAAAGGGACACCAGGUAGAGGAAUUUUGUUCAAGAAAAAUGAAGGAUUGCUCAUAGAGGCAUAUACUGAUGCUGAUUAUGCAGGUUCUGUUGUAGAUCGUAGAUCAACUUCAGGAUAUUGUACAUUUCUUGGUGGGAACCUAGUGACAUGGCGGAGUAAGAAGCAAUCGGUUGUUGCAAGAUCAAGUGCGGAAGCAGAGUUUAGAGCUAUGGCUCAUGGAGUUUGUGAAUUGCUAUGGCUCAAAAUAAUACUUGAUGAUCUUAAAAUCAAGUGGGAAGGACCUAUGAAACUCUAUUGCGACAACAAGUCUGCCAUCAACAUUGCACACAAUCCAGUGCAACAUGAUCGCACAAAGCACAUCGAAGUUGAUAGACAUUUUAUUAAAGAAAAGCUGGACAGUGGCAUGAUUUGCACUCCAUAUGUAGCAUCAAAUAAUCAAUUGGCAGAUGUCUUAACUAAGGGAAUGCCAACUUCCAACUUUGAAGACAUUACAUGCAAGAUGGGAAUGGAAAAUAUCUAUUCACCAUCUUGAGGGGGAGUGUUGAGAUCUAGAAUAUCUUUUUCUAUGUAUAUCCCAUGAUUUCUGCUAUAUCCCAUGAUUUCUGCUCUAUUUUAGGAUAGAAUAAUUUACUCCUAAUGUAUUUUAGGAUAGAAUAAAUUAGCUCCUAAUUUUUAGGAAAUUACAGAUUUCAUGGAAUUGACAAAAGUCAAAUUCCAUUUGUAUAAAUGUUGUACAGAGUCUGGAACAAAAGAUAUGACAGAACAAUUCAGUUCUUCUUUUUGUUCACCUAGAUUUGGACAGAGUAACUCAGCAUGUAACACACUUCUCCUAAAGUAGAUUGCAGUUUAAAAAAGAGGGAGAGAGAUGACUCAACAGAAGAUAUCAAGGUAUGCAAGGUAAUGCAUAACAACACAAAAAGUAUGAAGCUGUGAAGUA
rnacentral:lncRNA from 1 species